rnacentral:rRNA from 1 species
AGCGAACGCUGGCGGCAGGCCUAACACAUGCAAGUCGAACGGAUCCUUCGGGAUUAGUGGCGGACGGGUGAGUAACACGUGGGAACGUGCCCUUUGGUUCGGAACAACUCAGGGAAACUUGAGCUAAUACCGGAUGUGCCCUUCGGGGGAAAGAUUUAUCGCCAUUGGAGCGGCCCGCGUCUGAUUAGCUAGUUGGUGAGGUAACGGCCCACCAAGGCGACGAUCAGUAGCUGGUCUGAGAGGAGGAUCAGCCACACUGGGACUGAGACACGGCCCAGACUCCUACGGGAGGCAGCAGUGGGGAAUCUUGCGCAAUGGGCGAAAGCCUGACGCAGCCAUGCCGCGUGAAUGAUGAAGGUCUUAGGAUUGUAAAAUUCUUUCAGCGGGGACGAUAAUGACGGUACCCGCAGAAGAAGCGCCGGCUAACUUCGUG